rnacentral:lncRNA from 1 species
UAAAGGGGUGCGGCCAGGAGAAGGGGGAAAAGAACGAACCCUAGUUCUUGAUCAUUCCUACAAGAUUCAUCAAAUUCAGCCUUAAGUUUAAGUGAUUCUAAUGCAUGCUUGAUAAAUUAGAGUCUACAAAUUCAUCUCAUCAUAAGGAUUUGGAAGUCUUGAAUUGAGACUAUGGCCGACAUGAGAAAAAGAGGAGGAACAAAAUUGGUUUCUUGAUUCUACAUCCCAGCAAGUUAAUCCUCAAAUUCUUUAACGGGUAUGCUCAUCUAAAGACAAUGAAGUGAACUCUUUUAAAGUGGGAUGUAUGAAAUCACAAUCCAAAUAUAUAUAUGAAGAGUUAGAGAUCAGUGAUUGAGGAUUUCAAUCAAGGAGACGAAGAUUCUAGUGGCAAAGGUAAGUUACACUUGCUCUAAAUUAAAAGUAUGCAAUAUCUUUUAUUGAGCUAG